rnacentral:tRNA from 1 species
GAUGCGCUUGCCCGGGGGGCGGCGGCCGUGGCCUACGAGGCCGCGGGGGCGCCAUCGUUCGCUGACGGUGGUGUACCG